rnacentral:rRNA from 1 species
UAAUACAGAGGUCCCAAGCGUUGUUCGGAUUCACUGGGCGUAAAGGGUGCGUAGGCGGUCGGGUAAGUCUGAUGUGAAAUCUCACAGCUUAACUGUGAAACUGCAUUGGAUACUAUUCGGCUUGAGAGUUGGAGGGGGGACUGGAAUUCUUGGUGUAGCAGUGAAAUGCGUAGAUAUCAAGAGGAACACCAGUGGCGAAGGCGAGUCCCUGGACAACUUCUGACGCUGAGGCACGAAAGCUAGGGGAGCAAACAGGAUUAGAUACCCUGGUAGUCCUAGCCGUAAACGGUGCUUAUUUGCUGUAAAAGGAAUCGACCCCUUUUGUGGCGUAGCAAACGCGUUAAAUAAGCCGCCUGGGAAGUACGGUCGCAAGAUUA